rnacentral:rRNA from 1 species
UGGGGAAUAUUGGACAAUGGGGGGAACCCUGAUCCAGCAAUGCCGCGUGUGUGAAGAAGGCCUGAGGGUUGUAAAGCACUUUCGGUAGGGAGGAGGUUAACUUGGUUAAGAGCUGAGAUAAUGGACGUUACCUACAGAAGAAGCACCGGCUAACUCCGUGCCAGCAGCCGCGGUAAUACGGAGGGUGCGAGCGUUAAUCGGAAUUACUGGGCGUAAAGGGUGCGUAGGUUGUUGUAUAAGUUAUCUGUAAAAUCCCUGGGCUUAACCUGGGCAAGCCAGAUAAGACUGUACGACUAGAGUAUGGUAGAGGGUAGUGGAAUUUCCGGUGUAGCGGUGAAAUGCGUAGAGAUCGGAAGGAACACCAGUGGCGAAGGCGGCUACCUGGACUAAUACUGACACUGAGGCACGAAAGCGUGGGGAGCAAACAGGAUUAGAUACCCCGGUAGUCC